UGGGGAAUAUUGCACAAUGGGCGAAAGCCUGAUGCAGCAACGCCGCGUGAGUGAUGAAGGCCUUCGGGUUGUAAAGCUCUGUCUUCUGGGACGAUAAUGACGGUACCAGAGGAGGAAGCCACGGCUAACUACGUGCCAGCAGCCGCGGUAAUACGUAGGUGGCAAGCGUUGUCCGGAUUUACUGGGCGUAAAGAAUGCGUAGGCGGAUACUUAAGUCAGAUGUGAAAUACCCGAGCUCAACUUGGGUGCUGCAUUUGAAACUGGGUAUCUAGAGUGCGGGAGAGGUAAGUGGAAUUCCUAGUGUAGCGGUGAAAUGCGUAGAGAUUAGGAAGAACACCAGUGGCGAAGGCGACUUACUGGACCGUAACUGACGCUGAGGCAUGAAAGCGUGGGGAGCAAACA
rnacentral:rRNA from 1 species